UACAAUACAUGAUCGGUGACCGAUGCCCCUUCCCUCAUACGGGCAUUGAAUAUAGCGCAGGAGGUCUUAUGUCGUUCAACAUCAUCAGGUGUGCGAAAGACUCCUUCAACAUUUGAAGGAUUUCCACUGGCUGUGCUUCCUCGAAUUUACGACUAAACUCAUCAUUCAUCGAGGCCCUCAUGAUGCAACGCACUGUAGUGCGAUCGUUGAGCCACUUCUGAUAAGCGUCUCUGAUUGCACGUGGUGCAUUGGCUGCAGGUUCCUCAGGUGCAGGAUCCGAUAUCACAUACAGGAUCCGCUCAUGCUCUAAUACUAUUUUCAUCUUUCG
rnacentral:lncRNA from 1 species